GGGAGACGGUGAUGAGUGUUUCUUUGGAUCUAAUGAUCAAUCCUGGAGUUUGUUCUGCUCUCGCUGCAGUUGCUCAUUCACACACAAUAACAUAGAGACUGAUCUCCCUGUGAAGCACAUCAUCAGGAGAAUAGGAGUGUUUUAUGAUGAUGAUGAUGAU